UCGUUACAACGUAGGUGCAUGUUACUAUCCUCCUCCUAUAAGUAUAAUCUUCCUCCUAUAAGUAUAAGUAGAAGAACAACCACGGCUCCUCUUCUGCUCUAUUUCUUCUAGGUAGGCAGACUCCACCUAAAUUGCCGUCUUAUGUCACCAUCGAAUGCUGUUAAACUCACCUCACAAAGAUUGAUCGACAAGGAGAAUCCAUUCAGACGAAGAAGAGGUCGAACCAUGCAUCAUAGAUGAUGAAUUUCACCGUUCAAUCUACACUGACCACCGCAAACCUAUGUCGCACUCAGUGAGAAAAAUUUCAAUUACUCACAACCAUCCACUCAUCCGGAUUCCCUCAACCUCCUGAUAUUGUCCAUCAUCCUUGUGUUGUCAUUGGCCGUGUGCACUAUGAUCCAUGCCAUGCCAUCCGCGAACAGGAACCCCGAAUGUCAGCCGAUCCUUCGGCUAUCAUGCCCCCAUGAUGUAAUUCUUCAGUGAGAACGUUCAGGCUGGAAUGAUCCAUGGAUAUUUUGUUUGCUUCAUAGCGAAGUAUGUCCCCGUUGCAACGCACGGGCUCUUUUGCUAGUAUGUAUGUAUAUAUAUAUAUAUAUAUAUAUUAAUAAUAAAGAGAAUUGAGUUUCUGCCCGUACGUCAUCGGCAUUUUUACAUAAACCCCCUACUGUUUGAGGUAUUCAACCCGCAGUCCAGCAAGUAAAAAAUGGUUCGCCAGGUGAUCCACUUCCAAUUUCCCCUCUGCGCCGCCACCCGCCAGAGACGACCGCGCCCGACCGCCCGAUUCCGCGCCUCCCGCCGGAGACCGCCGCCGACGAGGGCCACGCCGGCGAUCUCCCAUCAGGCCGCCUGCCUCCUCUUCGGCGUUCAUGUCGGCGGCGACCUCCUGUGGUGUGCAGCGGGAGAGAGCUUUGAGUAAAGGUGAGAGUAAGGAGAAGAAAUAAGAGAGACGGGGCGAUGUGCUGCAGGUGCUACUCACCGGCGGGAGGACGGCGAGGGCGGAGCAAGGCGGCGGCGGAGUGGGCCUUGGGCGAUGCAGUCGGAUCGAGCAGUGCUCGAUGCAGAGGCGGGUGCUAGCUCGCUGCUCCUCUCGAGACGGAGCAUGGGCACGAUGCAGUUGACUUGGUGGAGAGUGCCGGCGCCUUGACGACUCCAGCGAGGUAGAAAGGCCUGGGACGGACACGGGGGAAACGGAUCAGUAUGUUUGCCGGCUAGAUCGGAACGUGGGCAAGCCCAGGCGGCGUGUGGCAACGGAUGAAGGUGCCCGCGGCCAUGAAGCUCCGAUGGUAGCGCUGCAGAGAGCAAAAAAACGGAGGGAGCGGAGGUCAGGUAGGAGAUGGAGAGCAGAGGGAGGAGGAGAGGCCCAGGCGCAGCUGUGCGUGCUCACCGGCGGCCUAGCCGACAACGCGGCGGAGCGGCAGUGGAUUGGCCGGGUCGGAAGCUUCGCCUCCGUGGCGCUCGUUACUGGUGUCGAUGCUGCUGGCUCUGGUCGCGCACUCUAGGCGUGGCGGGGCGACGCCAAGCCGUUUGUGGGCUUUCUGGAUAGAGAAGGGAGAGCAGCGCGUCGCCGGAAGCUGCCAUCGCCCCGCAACCAUGAUGCCCGUCGCCUCGCAGCACUAGCCAUCGCCUCUCGCAGCAGGGCAUGUCGAGCUCCGGUGGCUGGGGCAAGAAAGAGCAAGGAGAGAGGGGAGCCUAUUAGGCGCAGUGCUGUGGAGGUGUGGCGAUGAGUGAGAUAAAUUGCGCACAGCGGUGCAGGGAGCCGCCGGACACGCGUAAUGAGUGCAGGGCGGCUGAUGCGUUUUUUGUGUGUGUGGGAAUGAUGCGUUCGUUGACUAUAGUCGGCUGAACCAAAGCCGUG
rnacentral:lncRNA from 1 species